UACGGGGGGGGCAAGCGUUGUUCGGAAUUACUGGGCGUAAAGGGCUCGUAGGCGGCCAACUAAGUCCGACGUGAAAUCCCCAGGCUUAACCUGGGAACUGCGUCGGAUACUGGAUGGCUUGAAUUCGGGAGAGGGAUGCAGAAUUCCAGGUGUAGCGGUGAAAUGCGUAGAUAUCUGGAGGAACACCGGUGGCGAAGGCGGCAUCCUGGACCAAUACUGACGCUGAGGAGCGAAAGCCAGGGGAGCAAACGGG
rnacentral:rRNA from 1 species